rnacentral:rRNA from 1 species
UUGAAGAAUAAAUUAUAUAAAUUUUAUAAUAAUAAAUUAAUUUUAAAUUAUAUAAUUGGUUGUGAAGAUUAUUUAAUUUAAGAUUAAUAAAAAUUUUUUAGAUAUUUUUAAAACUAGGGUUAGAUGCCUAUUAUUUUUAAAUUAUAAAUUAAGGUAUUAAAUAUAAAAAUAUUAAACCUAAAUUACAUGGCAGUAUUUUACUCCCUGCAGAGGAAUUUGAAUAUAAAGUGAUAAACCUCAAUAUAUUUUUUUUAAUUUUUAUUUUAUGUGUGGUUGUUUAAAUAAAUAAUAAAUUAUAAAUUUUAAAUCAGAUUAUAUGUAAAAAUAAUUAAAAUUAUUUAAUUUACAAAUAUUUAUAUUUAUAGGAUUUGCAUGUAAUAAUAUUUUAUAUAAUAUUAUGAUGAGGUUAUAAAAUGUGUACAUAUUGUCCGUCACUCUCAGAAAU